GUACUCACUUUGGCAGCACAUAUACCCAAAUUGGAACAAUACAGAGAAGACAGCAUGGCCACUGCCCAAGAAUGACAUGCAAAUUCAUCAAGCAUUAAAAAACGAA
ensembl:snRNA RNU6-395P RNA, U6 small nuclear 395, pseudogene